GAUGAACGCUAGCUACAGGCUUAACACAUGCAAGUCGAGGGGCAGCGCAGUGUAGCAAUACAUGGGCGGCGACCGGCGCACGGGUGCGUAACGCGUAUCCAACCUUCCCGUUACUCAGGGAUAGCCUUCCGAAAGGGAGAUUAAUACCUGAUGGUGUUCAAAUUCCGCAUGUUAUUUGAACUAAAGAUUUAUCGGUAACGGAUGGGGAUGCGUGACAUUAGAUAGUAGGCGGGGUAACGGCCCACCUAGUCUACGAUGUCUAGGGGUUCUGAGAGGAAGGUCCCCCACACUGGAACUGAGACACGGUCCAGACUCCUACGGGAGGCAGCAGUGAGGAAUAUUGGUCAAUGGUCGGAAGACUGAACCAGCCAAGUAGCGUGAAGGAUGAAGGUUCUAUGGAUUGUAAACUUCUUUUAUACGGGAAUAAAGCCCGCUACGUGUAGCGGUUUGUAUGUACCGUAUGAAUAAGCAUCGGCUAACUCCGUG
rnacentral:rRNA from 1 species